rnacentral:tRNA from 1 species
GUCCCUGUAGUGCAAGGGAUAGCGCAUUGGACUUCUAAUCCAAAGGUUGUAAGUUCGAAUCCUACCUGGGAUG